AUCAGAAUGAUAACUAAAAGCAUUCCAGAGUUAUUAAUGUUUAUAGUGACAGUGGUCAGAAUUGCAAAAAAUGCUCUGGUCCUUAAGGUGAAAAAGGGCUCGGUCCUUAAGGGGUUAAGGUUUCAAAUUAUGUGGUAUCACUGUGUGCGUAAAUGUCUGAACUAUUAAAAUAUGACAUUAAGAAAACCGUAAGGUCAGUGUCAUUGAAUGUGUCAUUAUUAGAAACAGAAGCCCCCAAAAUUUACAAAAUAGAAUUUAUUUGCCCCACAAAUAUUUAUUUUUUUGUUUCAUAGUAGAUUUUGUGAUAACAUUUGUGAUGUUAUUACAAAGUACAGUUAGUGAAGCCAAAAAAGGAGCCUUUUAUGAGUUUGUAGGUGUAAAAUGUAAAAGGCUAUUACAAAGCAAAGAGGAAAAAAAUCAAAAAUCCCAAUGUCCUUAAGGGGGGUUACAUUUUAUUUUAAUAGUUUGGACAUUUCCACACGCGGCAAUACCAAAUAUUUUUGUUAAUCUAAUUUUUUUCACUUGUAAAAUGGAAAAGAGGGUUAUUUAUUAUUUCAUUGGGGUGGAAGCUUUUUUACUUAUAUAAACAUUUUUUUUUUCCUCUUAACUCCAUUGGAGAAUAUUUAUAGCAGUCAUUAGAUUAUGCAUAGGCAUAGCAGUGAUAAGUAAUAUCGGAGAUCUGCUUCUUUGGUCUGCCAGAAAAAGAUUGCCAAAGUGGGCCAGGAGCAGGUGAGAGGAGAUUUGGCUGCCAUCUUGACUCAUUAUACCCCAGAGAUUGUGCAGUGGGUGGUCUGAUGGUGAUAUGGUGGCCUCAUAUUCUCUGUUAUGCUUCAGAAGCCGUGAUCAGUAUUGAUCAUGGCAUCUGAAGGGUUAAUAUAGGGUAUCAGCAUGAUGGCUGAUGUCUGCCAUUAGCCGCAGCUCUAUAAAGUAAACAGCUACUGCGCUCGAUUCAUAAUCCAGUAGAGACUCAGGACAUACAUGUACGUCCUGGUGCGCCAAGUACCAUGCAGCCAGAGUGUACAGUAACGUCCACUGUUCUCUAGGACCUGUGGCCUCCCCAGACAUUGUGACUUUUUAAUAUCCCUUAAAAUCUUAGGGCGCCCUAAAUCUACCGGUGUUCUUAGUUAAAAAAAAUUCUUCCUCCCCCAUUCUCGAGAUAUGAAGGUUUUUGGAUCCUCUCUGACUGACAGUGAAUCUGUCAGAUGAGCAUACCCUUCAUUACAAUACUGUGUUCUGAUGCUGCAGUGAGGGGCUGUGAUUUACAUAGGGGGUGAGCUGGAGCUGAUUGUGUGAUUUCAGAGUAGGAUGUUGUCAGAUCUCUUACAGCACCCUGCAAGUGUAAGGGAUGACUACUUGAAUGUACACAACAUGGGCUCUAAACUGCCAAGACCAAAGAAUGAUUUGUAGUGUAAGGGUCCUGGCACUGUGGAGUCCACGGUUUGUACAUUCCAGUGCAGAGCUAUUGCUCCUGUUCUGUACACCUGCCAGGACCUGCAGCCUACAAUACAAGUCUUUUAGUGCACAGGACUGGGAGCCGGGAUCUGGUGCUGCACUCGCUCCUUCUUGGGGAGCUGAAACAACAUGGUGGAGCACAACGGAUCACAAAUCCCCCCUUACCCCAUCCUGCAAUCACCCUGCUGUGAUGCUAUCUAGUCCCCCACUACUUUACCUACUUCCUACUUAAGGGAAACACUCUUCCCCCUAGUGUCGAGGCUCAGACAAUCAGAUUCAAGAAGAGCUUGUCUCAGAAUUAGGUAGAUAGAGCUGAUGGAGACCAGAUGACAGGGAGUCAGGUACAUAAAUAUAUGAGGAAGAGAGCGCAUGCUCUUGAAACGCGUAUGACAAGGGAGGGUGUCGGUUUUACCGUGGAAAGUUUGUUUGUCGGAUUCGGACCAAAAUAAAGCUGCAACUUUUUAUCCAAGUGCUGGAUCAGUUUCUACUUUCUUCGUUUACAUAAAUAUAUGUUUUGUUUUACUUUCAUGUCACCCCUAACAAUAUAUAAAGUUUUUUUAGCAUCUGGAUAACCCCUUAAAGGGGUAUUCCGGGAUUUUUUUUUUAUUUGACUAUGCUACAGGGGCUGUAAAGUUAGUGUAGUUCAUAAUAUAUAGGUUUUCUUAUUUGAUUUAUUUUUAAACAGCAUACAAAAUGACUGUUGUCUCAGAUUUUUCCCAGGUUGCAAUCACUAGUCAGCUGAUGACAGGGAGCCUGUCUGCUUCAAUGGCUUGAGCAAUCGCUUGGUGGGAGUGAGCUCAAUCUGCAACUAAUGCAACAGCUGUAGGCACCCUGAUUGAAAACACAGGUCUUUUGAAUGGAUGCAGCUCAUUUAUGUUUUAAUGGGUCGGGUGGCUGAUGUGUGGGAGGGAGGAAAAUGGAAUUAUAGGAUUUGUAGGCAAAGAAGAAAACUCAAACAGGAAAUACCAGUUCACAAAAAGCUAGCCACAGUGUUAUGGUAAUCUCACAACAUAGCCAUUUAGCCCCAAGACAAGCGCAGAUCCUUCCUAAGCAUGUCCAUUACUGUCUGGCAGGUACGUACUAAAAUCACCUUAUGGUGGAUAACCCCUUUAAUUCUUUUAGAAUGCUGUGCAUUUUCAUUUCUUGUGCUUCUCCUUUUAUUUUCUAUAUUAAAUCUCCAUAUUCUGAGCCCUAUAACCAUACCUCCCAACCAUCCCAGAUCCGGAAGGACAUUCCCGCUAUUGGCCCCCACAUGUCCCGCAUUUAACUGUAAAUGCCUCUUAAUGAGGCGUCUGUAGUUAAAUGCGGUGCUCGGUGGAAGGUUUGACAGAGCCAUUGGCUCCUCACCCUGUCAAUCACUCUUGUGCUCGCUGGCUCAAGUUAGCCAGAGAACACAAGAGGCCAGGCUGAGCUCUUCCUGCUUCUGCGAACGAGUGACUUCAUCAGAUGCCGGAGCACAGAGGAAGAGAAAGGAAGAGCCCAUGCUAAGGAAGCCCCCGCCGCCGGAGCCGCUGGGAAGAGGGUAAAAGAGCCGCAGAAGGCAACUGGAUAUUCAUAUGCUGCAGAGGAGGAAAGGGAUGAAGAAUAUAAUCCUGAAGAAUCUUCUGAUGAGGAAGAUUAUAGUAUUCAACAGGAGACGGAAAGUGACAGUGAGGAGGAAACAGCUGCAACAAUACAUGAAAUAACGCCGAAACGAAAAGCUCUUCUGGAAAGACUAAGAAAAAAGGCAGAACUACAUGGCGAGCUACAUGAGCACUCUUUCCAAAACGAUCCAGAGUGGCCAAGCAUCAAUGACAUCCCAGG